rnacentral:rRNA from 1 species
UGAUGAACGCUGGCGGCGUGCCUAAUACAUGCAAGUCGAGCGAACGGACGAGAAAGCUUGCUUCUCUGAUGUUAGCUGGCGGACGGGUGAGUAACACGUGGAUAACCUACCUAUAAGACUGGGAUAACUUCGGGAAACCGGAGCUAAUACCGGAUAAUAUUUUGAACCGCAUGGUUCAAAAGUGAAAGACGGUCUUGCUGUCACUUAUAGAUGGAUCCGCGCUGCAUUAGCUAGUUUGGUAAUGUGUAACGGCUUACCAAGGCAACGAUGCAUAGCCGACCUGAAGGGUGAUCGGCCACACUGGAACUGAGACACGGUCCAGACUCCUACGGGAGGCAGCAGUAGGGAAUCUUCCGCAAUGGGCGAAAGCCUGACGGAGCAACGCCGCGUGAGUGAUGAAGGUCUUCGGAUCGUAAAAUCUGUUAUUAGGGAAGAACAUAUGUGUAAGUAACUGUGCACAUCUUGACGGUACCUAAUCAGAAAGCCACGGCUAACUACGUGCCAGCAGCCGCGGUAAUACGUAGGUGGCAAGCGUUAUCCGGAAUCAUUGGGCGUACAGCGCGCGUAGGCGGUUUCUACGUCUGAUGUGA